rnacentral:rRNA from 1 species
UACGAAGGGGGCUAGCGUUGUUCGGAAUCACUGGGCGUAAAGCGCACGCAGGCGGAUUGAUAAGUCAGGGGUGAAAUCCCGGGGCUCAACCUCGGAAUUGCCUUUGAUACUGUCUGUCUUGAGUUCGGGAGAGGUUGGCGGAAUUCCUAGUGUAGAGGUGAAAUUCGUAGAUAUUAGGAAGAACACCAGUGGCGAAGGCGGCCAACUGGCCCGAUACUGACGCUCAUGUGCGAAAGCGUGGGUAGCAAACAGGG